rnacentral:rRNA from 1 species
CAGUAAGCCACGGGAAUACAGAGGGUGCGAGCGUUAAUCGGAUUUACUGGGCGUAAAGCGUGCGUAGGCGGCUUCUUAAGUCGGAUGUGAAAUCCCUGAGCUUAACUUAGGAAUUGCAUUCGAUACUGGGAAGCUAGAGUAUGGGAGAGGAUGGUAGAAUUCCAGGUGUAGCGGUGAAAUGCGUAGAGAUCUGGAGGAAUACCGAUGGCGAAGGCAGCCAUCUGGCCUAAUACUGACGCUGAGGUACGAAAGCAUGGGGAGCAAACAGGAUUAGAUACCCCAGUAGUCCCUGUCUCUUAUA